UGCUCCAUGGUGAAAUGGUAACACAGCGGACUUUGACUCCGUUAUUUUCUAGGUUCGAGCCCUAGUGAAGCAGCCA
rnacentral:tRNA from 1 species